rnacentral:misc_RNA from 1 species
CUAAGGAGCACCACGAAAAGCACUCCAAUUGGUGGGGUGCGAGCCGUGAGGGGUUCUCGUCUGUAGUGGACGAGGGCCGGGUGCACAACAGCAAAUGAUUGCCAGACACACUAUUGGGCCCUGAGACAACACUCGGCCAGUCCGUGUGGAGUCCCUCCAUCUUGGUGGUGGGGUGUGGUGUUUGAGUAUUGGAUAGUGGUUGCGAGCAUCUAGAUGAGCGCAUGGUCCUUUGUGGCUGAUGCGUUCAUCAAAAUGUGUAAUUUCUUUUUGAUUUUUUUUGUGUGUAAGUAAGUGUUAAGGGCGCAUGGUGG